UACUAUGUCUAUGAAAGUACAUAUAAGCGUGAGGUACUAUGUCUAUGGAAGUACAUAUAAGAAAAAAGGUACUAUGUCUAUGGAAGUACAUCUAUGCGUGUGCAGAUUUUUUACAAGAGAAUCAGACGGGAGCAGGAAAAGAGGUACUAUGUCUAUGGAAGUACAUAUAAGCGUGUGUAGAUUUUUUUACAAGAGAAUCAGACGGGAGUAAGAAAAGAGGUACUAUGUCUAUGGAAGUACAUAUAUGCAUGUGUAGAUUUUUUACAAGAGAAUCAGACGGAAGCAAGAAAAGAGGUACUAUGUCUAUGGAAGUACAUAUAUGCGUGUGUAGAUUUUUUACAAGAGAAUCAGACGGAAGCAAGAAAAGAGGUACUAUGUCUAUGGAAGUACAUAUAUGCGUGUGUAAAUUUUUUACAAGAGAAUCAGACGAGAGCAAGAAAAGAGGCACUAUGUCUAUGGAAGUACAUAUAUGCAUGUGUAGAUUUUUUAUAAGAGAAUCAGACGGAAGCAAGAAAAGAGGUACUAUAUCUAUGGAAGUACAUAUAUGCGUGUGUAGAUUUUUUACAAGAGAAUUAGACGGGAGCAAGAAAAGAGGCACUAUGUCUAUGGAAGUACAUAUAUGCGUGUGUAGAUUUUUUACAAGAGAAUCAGACGAGAGCAAGAAAAGAGGUACUAUGUCUAUGAAAGUACAUAUAAUUAAGCGGGUGUAGAUUUUUUACAAGAGAUUCAGACAGGAUGCAAGUACGACAAUAAAGUGCUAUUUAUACAAUCAAUGUGGUUUUAUGAUUGUAAUAA